CCUACGGGUGGCUGCAGUGGGGAAUAUUGGGCAAUGGGCGCAAGCCUGACCCAGCAACGCCGCGUGAAGGAGGAAGGCUUUCGGGUUGUAAGCUUUUUUUAAGAGGGGAGAGCAGAAGACGAUACCUCUUGAAUAAGCCACGGCUAACAACGUGCCAGCAGCCGCGGUAAUGCGUAGGGGGCAAGCGUUGUCCGGGUUUAGUGGGUGAAAAGGGCGUGUAGGCGGUCUCACAAGGCAGAUGUGAAAUUCCGGGGCUCAACCCCGGACCUGCAUUUGACACUGGCGGUCUUGAGUACCGUAGAGGCAGGCGGAAGUCCUGGUGUAGCGGUGAAAUGCGUAGAUAUUAGGAGGAACACCAGUGGCGAAGGCGGCCUGCUGGGCCACAACUGACGGUGAGGCGCGAAAGCGUGGGGAGCAAACAGGAUUAGAUACCCUUGUAGUC
rnacentral:rRNA from 1 species